CACCUCUCAGGGUCGCACCUGGAGAGUUUCCAUUACUCUACCAGUCUCGACUAUGGGAGGGAGGUGUCAAGCAGAGGCCUGCCCAUUCCAUUCCAUUCCUAGCUUGGGCAGUGGCUAGCGAGUGGAAGGCAAUCUGCUACAAGU
rnacentral:snoRNA from 1 species